CGAGGAGCGAAACGCAGUCAGGAGACAGCACACAGGGGGAAAGAUUUUUGGAAGGCUCUGAGCAAAGUGACCCCAUGGCAGCAGUGGGCAGGAGGCAGGGGAAAGCCACGAGGACGGAUGGAUGAGGCGUGGAGCAUCCCCCAGGGCAGGGUGUGGGUGACAACCAGCUCCUGUAACGCUGGUACCUCUCCCCAUCUCCAUUUCACAGGUGGAAAAACAAGCAGCGUGCAGCAACCCGAUCUGAUUACCCUGCUGGAAACAGCCCAGAGCUGCUGGGCAGAGCCCGGCACAGCCCCACAGCAGAGAAUAGGGCGCAUGGGGCUGGGGGGGACCUGCUGUGGGGCUGUGACCAUCCUGCGAUGCCACCCCACGUCACAGCAGCCUGAGUGCCACCAGGGCAUCCCCAGUGAUGCUUUGGCUGCUGGGUCCCACCUGCGCCCCCCCUGGGACCCCCCCUCAUUUGGCCCAGCACUGAUUGCUGCCGGGGGAAGCCCCGCCGUGCUCCCUAGGAAACUUUUAUCUUUUUUUUUUUUUUUCCUGUUGCUCUGAGGCUGCAGCAUCAGAUUGCUCUCGGCGCGUGGAGGAACGUAUCGAUUGCUGCCGUCGGAUCAAUGGGCGCACGCAGAGCAAUAAAAGCAGUGCCAGCAGGAGGCUCAGGACAGCAGGGUUCGGGGACUGCCCUGCAGGAGAUGGGCUCAUUACUUCCUGACCGCUUUUGCUCCCAGCUCCAGCACGAUUUGCAGCAAGUUUCUGCACCCAGCCGGCAGCUUGGGGGGCAACGGGACCUUGCUGCGGGGUUGGGGUGACCCUGGGGUGCUGGGAAGGUGCUGGAAACCCCCCAAAAACCCAUCCCUGAGCCAUCCAUGGGCAUCUCCUCUGAGCAUUUCACUGGUGUCCAUGCAAAGAAAGCCAGCUUAUGUUAAAAAAUUCGGAUAGUGAGGCUUGAGCACGCACGAGGGUUUGGCUGCAGCAUGCCCGGGUGUGCGAGGUGGUGCCCGGCAGGCGGCGGUGACAGCCCACGAGGGGACCCUGUCCCCAGCCCUGCACUCACAGCAGGACCCAGGCACAGUGCAGGCAGGAGGCUGGCCACGUCCCCUCCCAAAUACCUCGAGUUAGGAUGGACAAGCAGGGGCUCAGCUCCCCGUGCGCUGCAAAUAGAGGGAACGGCGCUCACAAGGCACGAACAGGAUCAGACCCUGGGUACACCAAGGGUGGCUGUGGCUGGGAAGCAUCUGAGAGACCCUGGGGCUGCCACCUCCAUCCCGGGGGACACUGGGGACCCGUCCCCAUCCUGCCACCCCCUGGCUGGAGUCCCCGUGCCCCAGCCACGUCCCCCCUGCCGGAGGCCACUGCUGUCCCCACGUUGCCAGGAGACUGUCCCCAGCUCCCCUUCGCUUUCUGCUUCUCUUUCUUUUCCCUUUUAACAAGAAGAAGAAGGAGGGGGGGGUGGAGGACAAAGGCCCAGACGUCCCGCGUGACGUCGCAGUUGCUGGGGAAACACGCGCAAGGCCUUUUCCUUGAAUGUAUUUGUUUUAACAAAGCCCUGUGCCAUCUGCCCCUCCAUCCCCGACCCACGGUGGUUGCUGUUAGGGGCAGGAACGGGGAGCUGGGGGUGUGGGGUGGUUCCCACUGACCCCCCCCCGGGACCCUUGGGCUGAAUUCCCUCCCUCACACACACUGCACGGGGCACCCCGCUGUCCCCAUGGGCAGCCCGUUUUUGUUGGGGGUGAAAUGGCCUCAAAGAGCUUGGGGUUUUGGGGGUCUCUGAGGAGAUUGCCCCUAUUUUCCUGUCCUGCUUUCUAAGGAGCAUCAUCGGCCCCGAGGCUCCCAGCACUUUUUUCUCCCACUGCUGGGGGGGACGAGCACCGGUUGUUCAUCGCUGCCCCCGGGUUUUUGCCUGCCCUCCUUGUGCCUGCUUCCCCCUGGCCCCUUGCCCGGGGAAAGAGACUGAAAAGGGCCAAUGCACCCAGCUCCAGCUGGGGGAACAAAGAGCCCCUUGUCCCAGGCAGCCGGGGCAAAGUGCAGAGCCGGCUUCCCAGGCUUGUCCUUUUCUCCUUCUCUUUCUCCCACUCUGUUUUUCUGUGGGUUUGGGUUGGUUUUGUGUUUUUUUUUUUUUUUAAAGACUUCUCUCCAAGAACAGAGUUCUGACCUCAAAAAAUCACGCAGAUCCGCCCGGCUCUUGCUUUGCCAGGCUUGGGGGAGAAGAAGGUAGAAAUGGCAUUAAAUUAAAUUAUUUCUUGGGGCAGCUCAUGUGGGAAGCACUGGAGAGCCUGAGCACUCCUGGGGGCACCUGGGGACCCCGACACACUGGGAGUCAGAGCUGUGGGACACCAUACAGAAAAGAUGACCCAUGUGGGAGGCACAGAGAUGUUUUAUGUCCAGCUAGACGUGUGCCACAUCCGUGCAUCAAGGCCAUGGCUGUGACAAGGGCCCCAUAAAGCAGGUGAUGCUGGCCGGGAGCUCACAGGUGAUGGGAAUCUCCCCGAGCAGCUCAUGGCCACAGGUUUCACCUGUGGAUAGUGUAGAAAAGGGCCAGGUUGGCUCAGACCUUGGUUUAAUGUCCUUAGAGAUAGGAGCUGGUUUGCUGUGUGUCUGCACCCUCCUGUCCAAGGAGCUGGGGUGUCUCCAGGCUGGGUGAACCAGAAGGCUUUCUCCUUCUUGUGACUGUCAGGACUGCUUUUUGAAUAGCUGAGGGAUUGUAUCCUGAUGGUGGCAUCCUGCCAGGAAGGAUGAAGGAAGCAACAGGUGAUGCUGGUGGUGGGGCUUUCUGCUCUCUCUACAGACAGCCUCUAACUCUUCCAAGGCAAUUCACAACCCUGCAACUCCAGCAGAGCCGCUUGUUUAUUCGCGACAGAUGGGAUCGGGGAGUGUUUCCCAAAUUACUUCCCGAGCUGGGACUUCUUGUUUCACUUGGUGCUCGUGAGACCUCAGACAACAGCUGAUUAGUCACAAAAUGACGUCCCAGGUGCCUGGUGAAUGUUAGCAGGGCUGCUUCCAGAGCUGAAACCUCUCUGUUAUUCCCUGUUUGCUUGCUUGGGAAGCUGUUGUGCAUGAUCCUCGCUGCAUUACCCUGCACACAGGGGACAGUGGGACAGGUCCUGAGCAGGCUCAGUUUGGCUGAGCCCUGCAGCAGCCAGGAGCGAGCACGGUGGCCCCGUGGUGCAGAGGCAUGGGGCAGGCUCCAGACUUCAUCUCUGGCUCUUUCCUUCUCCAUCCUGGCCUCUACCAUGCCGUGGGAUUAGUGUGUGGGUUGCUGUUCCUCAGGUCUGUAAGGUGUCUCUGUAGCAUCCCCAGGGAAACGUAGCCUUGGUCUCCCUGGGGACUCCAGGGUGCUACUGAGCAGAUAUCUGUAAAUUAUUCAGCAAAUGCCUCUGGGGGAUGGUGCAUUUCAGCAGGCAGGUACUGUGGUUUCAGGCAGGAUUAUUUGCAUCAAAGAGCAGGGCCCUGAUGCACCUGUACCAGCUUGUGCUGCUGAGCACAGAGGGAGGCACUGCCCCAUUAGAGAGCUCCCUCUGCACAAAUAUAAAAUCCUCCCCUCACCAGCAGCAAGCCUGGACUCCAAACUUCAGCAGGAGCACAGCCUUGGACCCAAACUUCCCUAAAGCUCAACUAAUUGGUGUCUGAAGCGAGCAGCAGGACUGUGAUGCUCGUGGUACUUGGCCUCACCAUCAGAAGGUGCCGUGCAUCACAUCAAGUCCCCCUGACCGUGGAUUAGGAGAGCUAUAUGGAAAUAAUGAGCACUAUGGAAACAAAUGCUGAGGUUUGGGGUUUGGUUUCACCUGGAAAGCUUCAAGGGGAGGCCUGGCAGAGCCCUGCACCCUGCUGUGCCAUAUGAGGCAGCGGCUUGUGUUUUCCACGUGCCCCGCUGACUGCUAUCUCCUGAAACGGGCCGGGACGAGCUGUGCCAAGGAAUCACACCAGGCUGACACCCAACACCUGCUGAGGGAUGGAAAAGCCUGUCCUUCCCAGGGGCACGAGGCUCAGCUCAGCCACUGCUGCCCAUCUCUGCCUGGCCCUGACCCUCCCAAGGGAGAGGAGUGGGGGGCUUGGGGAGUGCCCCCACCUCCAGCCAGCCAUGCAGGUGAUGCUCGGAGCACUUGUUGCCUUCCAAACACCAGGAGGCAAUAAGAGCUGCCCUCUGUGUGCUGAGAACUGCCAGUAAUUAAUCCUAUCGGUAUCCUUAAGUGGGUAUCUGAGUCAAACUGCCUCCAAAGGGUGGCUAAUAGCUGAUUUCUGGUGAGAUGGGCUGAUCCUGUUUUUCAUUAGGUAUUUCCAGGGGCCUCCCAUCUCCUGGGGAAGCACCUUGCUAGCUGAGGAGGGUGUUGGGGGUCCUGCUGGGCACAGUGGGGACCCCGAGCAGCUCGGAGCUGCCACGCGGAUGCUGGAAGCAUUUCCCCUCUCCCCGCUCCAUCCCACGCAGGCAGCGGGGGAAGCAGAGCUCUUGGAAAGCAUCUCUGUGAGCGUGGGAGCAGGCGAGGGCUGUGCAAGCUUUCUUUGCAAAGGAAAACGGGGAUCAAAUCCUCCCCGUGCAGUAGCUCUGCCUGGGCUGUGAGUGUUUUCUUUGCAUGUUUGGGGACUGAGCACCCCGAUGUCCCCUCUCCCUCCCUUCUCCUGAGAUGCUGGAGGAUGGGGUCAGUGAUCAUCUCCUUGCUCAUUACUCAAGGAAGCUCUUCCCAGCUGCCUCCCAUCAGACCCAGAUGACUUUUUGGGCAAAUACAGAGCUCAGCUCUCCAUCCCCUCGUGCUGGUGAGGAGGUGGCAGUGUCCUCGCUACGGGCACCAGGCAGGUGAGGACAAGCCUGGAGCCACCUGCAGGGGCUCCUGCUGCUUCUGGACUCCGAAUCCACGUGGGUUUUCCUUAGCUUGCAAGGCAAGACAAACAAAUGCAGUACGACCUGGAGCCUUUUACAUGGGCAAAUCAAAUCCUGAACUGCUAUCAGUUAAUUACAAUGAUUCAGUGCCCCGCGCAGCCUCCAGCUCCCCGCACAGCCCUUGCCCUGGCUGCUCCAGAGCUGCAGGAGCUGCCCAGAUGCAGCAUCUCCCUCCGUAAUCGUGUUUCCUUUCAAUUAUGGCUCUCACUGGCCCGAGCCUGGGAAGCAUUUCGUGUGUCUGUGGGCAGACUGGCUCAGCUCUGCUUGCUGCCUGCAUGGCUGGCGGGCAGGCACCCAGCCACGACUGAAUCCAGGGUGAAAAGCGAGCCAAGCGGUGAUGUGCAGGGGGGAUCGCUUA